AUAUAAAUACAUGUAAUUAACCAUCUCAUAUCUAAUAUUUCAUCAUGUGUUUAUAUAAACAUAAGAAACAAUACACCGAUCAUAAGUCAUCUGUUUUCCUCAUGGCGCUCAGCAAAACCAACCCAAGGAUGUUCAACUUGGUUGUUAUUGCUUUCAUGCUCACGGCCAUCGUGUCUUCGACGUUACCUUCCUGCCAAGCAUAUUUAGACCCUUGCAAACGAAUAGCAGAAUGUACUAUCGGGUUGUGCAUGAAGGAUUGCGAAGCAAGACUCUAUAAACUACCUUAUGAAUUGCAGUGUAAAACAUUCCAAGGUCAUCCGGAGUGUUGUUGUACACAACUUUAGAUAGGUUAUAUGUUACAAUAAUGAUAGUGUCACAGAUUCUCAACUUAUGGUUCAAUAAUGUCGAUGAAUGCAUGAUGUCCUGAGCAUGUAAUGUAUCAUGCUAAUGCAAAUAAUGAAUAAAUUUAUAUUUUCUAAUAAA